rnacentral:rRNA from 1 species
GACGAACGCUGGCGGCGUGCUUAACACAUGCAAGUCGAACGGAAAGGCCCUGCUUUUGUGGGGUGCUCGAGUGGCGAACGGGUGAGUAACACGUGAGCAACCUGCCCUUGACUUUGGGAUAACUUCGGGAAACUGGGGCUAAUACCGGAUAGGAGCUCCUGCUGCAUGGUGGGGGUUGGAAAGUUUCGGCGGUUGGGGAUGGACUCGCGGCUUAUCAGCUUGUUGGUGGGGUAGUGGCUUACCAAGGCUUUGACGGGUAGCCGGCCUGAGAGGGUGACCGGCCACAUUGGGACUGAGAUACGGCCCAGACUCCUACGGGAGGCAGCAGUGGGGAAUAUUGCACAAUGGGCGGAAGCCUGAUGCAGCAACGCCGCGUGCGGGAUGACGGCCUUCGGGUUGUAAACCGCUUUCGCCUGUGACGAAGCGUGAGUGACGGUAAUGGGUAAAGAAGCACCGGCUAACUACGUG